CCUACGGGAGACAGCAGUGAGGAAUAUUGGUCAAUGGGCGCGAGCCUGAACCAGCCAAGUAGCGUGAAGGAUGAAUGCCCUACGGGUUGUAAACUUCUUUUAUAUAGGAAUAAAGUGUUGCACGUGUGCGUUUUUGUAUGUACCUUAUGAAUAAGGAUCGGCUAACUCCGUGCCAGCAGCCGCGGUAAUACGGAGAGUCCGAGCGUUAUACGGAUUUAUUGGGUUUAAAGGGGGCGUAAGGGGGUUGUCAAGGCAGGUGGGAAAGUUUGCGGCUCAACCUUAGAAUUGCCAUUGAAACUGGCAGGCUUGAGUGAAGGUGAGGUAGGCGGAAUUCGUGGUGUAGCGGUGAAAUGCUUAGAUAUCACGCAGAACUCCGAUUGCGAAGGCAGCAUACUGGACUGCAACUGACGUUGAUGCACGAAAGCGUGGGUAUCGAACAGGAUUAGAUACCCCAGUAGUC
rnacentral:rRNA from 1 species